UAUGAUCAAACCGGUGUGAUUAGAACGCUUAUUUAGAACACUUAUUCAUAACGCUUUUUUAUAACGGCAAUUUUCGUAUGACACAACAAUCAGCAUUUAAGCUGGCCACACUUUUUUCAGAAACAUUUUGCACGAACACAGUCCUUACAAAGUUAUGUCCAGAAUGUGAGCAGUUUAUUUUUGGAUGCAAUGUUCAGACAUUCACAGAAGUAUCUACAGCAGCAAUCAUCCAAACCGGAAAAAUCAUCUGCUCUCCAACAGCACAGGAGCCUGUGGCACAGUCAGGUCGAACAGGAAGGGGAUGCCGGCAUUCAGAUGCAGGAAGAUGCAGAGAGGGGAGGUGGAGUUCAAGGAGAAUGUUCAGCAACUGGCAGUAAAGUGGCAUGACAAAUGAGACGUCCAUGUCCUCUCCACUGUCCAUACAGCAACCAUGUCGGCCACAGGGAAGGUGAACCACCUGACGGGAGAGAGAAAAAUCAAACCAGUCUGCGUGCUUGACUAUAACCUCAAAAUGGGGGCAGUGGAUAAGGCGGACAUGAUAAACAGCUUUGUGAAAUGCACUAGGAAAACGACCAAGUGAUAUAAGAAGAUAUUUUUCCAUCUGAUCGACACUGCUGCCCUCAAUGGCCACAUAGUUCACCACCAACUAACAG
rnacentral:lncRNA from 1 species